AAUUUGAAAUCUGGCCCCCAGGGUCCGAGUUGUAAUUUGCAGAGGAUGCUUUUGGCAAGGUGCCUUCCGAGUUCCCUGGAACGGGACGCCAUAGAGGGUGAGAGCCCCGUCUGGUUGGAUACCGAGCCUCUGUAAAGCUCCUUCGACGAGUCGAGUAGUUUGGGAAUGCUGCUCUAAAUGGGAGGUAUAUGUCUUCUAAAGCUAAAUAUUGGCCAGAGACCGAUAGCGCACAAGUAGAGUGAUCGAAAGAUGAAAAGCACUUUGAAAAGAGGGUUAAAUAGUACGUGAAAUUGUUGAAAGGGAAGCGCUCAUGACCAGACUUGGGCCCGGUGAAUCAUCCAGCGCUCGUCGCUGGUGCACUUUGCCGGGCUCAGGCCAGCAUCAGUUCGCUCCGGGGGACAAAGGCUCUGGGAAUGUGGCUCCUCCGGGAGUGUUAUAGCCCACUGCGCAAUACCCUGGGGCGGACUGAGGUUCGCGCAUUCGUGCAAGGAUGCUGGCGUAAUGGUCAUCAGUGACCCGUCUUGAAACACGGACCAAGGAGUCGUCUUCGUAUGCAAGUGUUCGGGUGUAAAACCCCUACGCGUAAUGAAAGUGAACGCAGGUGAGAGCUUCGGCGCAUCAUCGACCGAUCCUGAUGUUCUCGGAUGGAUUUGAGUAAGAGCAUACGGGGCCGGACCCGAAAGAAGGUGAACUAUGCCUGUAUAGGGUGAAGCCAGAGGAAACUCUGGUGGAGGCUCGCAGCGGUUCUGACGUGCAAAUCGAUCGUCAAAUAUGGGCAUGGGGGCGAAAGAC
rnacentral:rRNA from 1 species